UACAGAGGGUGCAAGCGUUAAUCGGAUUUACUGGGCGUAAAGCGCGCGUAGGCGGCUAAUUAAGUCAAAUGUGAAAUCCCCCGAGCUUAACUUGGGAAUUGCAUUCGAUACUGGUUAGCUAGAGUGUGGGAGAGGAUGGUAGAAUUCCAGGUGUAGCGGUGAAAUGCGUAGAGAUCUGGAGGAAUACCGAUGGCGAAGGCAGCCAUCUGGCCUAACACUGACGCUGAGGUGC
rnacentral:rRNA from 1 species